AUUGAGGAAAACACCAUACAAUCAAGCAGCAUCAGACACCAGGAGGAUCCUGUGCUACAACAUUCCUGUAAGGUGUUUUCCCAUUCUUGAAUCUUAAAAUAUUUUAGAAGUGUAAGCAGAAUGAGCCAAGUAACUAUAGCCCAAUUAGCCUGACACAGAUCUCAAGCAAAAUCAUUGAAAGCUUGAUAAAGGUGUUUCCAGGAAUGGCCACAUACCCAUGUACUGUAAUUGGAACUCUAUAUUACCUUGCUACAGCUUUCAUUAUUAAAGUCAUUAAGAGAAGAAAGUGGAUGACGGAAAGUAUUGGUAAAGGGACAUAUAACCUUUCAAUUUUAAGUUAAAUGGUUGAAUCCUGUUUAACUCCUUACAGGCAAAAAACUAACACACUUUUAUUUUUGGCUGGUGGUCUCUGUUGAGUUCCUAGAGGAUAGGCAUCUUUUCACAAAAGACACCACAAUUGAUUAACCGACACUCUUGUUGGCAAUGACAGGAGAAAGGCGGCAGUUGAAUGAGCACAGACUGAUCUACUCUCCUUCCCUUAAAAUCAUCUCUGGGAUACACUGCCAGAGCAGAGCAAGGAGGCUUGACAUGUCCCUGCAUAUGCGGCAGCUGUUGUGUGGAUUAAAAGAGGGCUUCCAGCUUUAUAACUUGUCAUAGCUCACCAGAAGCAAGGCAUCUUCUGCAAUAAGCCACCUGGGCUUUUAAACUCCACAAUCGAUUAACAGUUUGUCAGACGCUUUAAUUGGAGAUGCUGUCAGAUGCCUGAAAUGGGCCUGGAUGUUUGAGGUAGGCUGGGGAGGUACUCUCCUGUCUCAGCUUCAUCUAGAACUCCCCCUUAAAAGAAGCGGGCAAGCCUUUUAUCUCGCCUUGUGGGUCUUGAUUGGCUGCUGACUUCUUCUGUUCUUUCUAGCUGCUAGAGGAUCAAGUGUUGUUGAUUGCACCCGUAUCAGCUCCUCAGUGGCUUCUCUAGGCAAUAUUCAGAGGUCUAAACUCACUACUUCACUUUUCCAGGGUGAUAUUUUCCUUCGGGCAGGUAUGUCAGGGUGGCAACACCUCCAGCAGGGGGCAGAGCAGUCCUGAAACAACUUGCCACAUUAGGCUAUCAACCUAGCUCCUUGUUUAAACACUAAAAAUAUACACAAAA